GAUGAACGCUGGCGGUAUGCUUAACACAUGCAAGUCGAACGGACUCUUCGGAGUUAGCGGCGGACGGGUGAGUAACGCGUGAGAAUCUGGCUUUGGGUUCGGGACAACCACUGGAAACGGUGGCUAAUACCGGAUGUGCCGAGAGGUAAAAGAGAAAUUGCCUGAAGAUGAGCUCGCGUCUGAUUAGCUAGUUGGUGAGGUAAAGGCUCACCAAGGCAGCGAUCAGUAGCUGGUCUGAGAGGAUGACCAGCCACACUGGGACUGAGACACGGCCCAGACUCCUACGGGAGGCAGCAGUGGGGAAUUUUCCGCAAUGGGCGAAAGCCUGACGGAGCAAUACCGCGUGAGGGAAGAAGGCUCUUGGGUUGUAAACCUCUUUUCUUAGGGAAGAACAAAAUGACGGUACCUAAGGAAUCAGCAUCGGCUAACUCCGCG
rnacentral:rRNA from 1 species